rnacentral:rRNA from 1 species
UGGGAAGUAUUGCAUCAAUGGCAGGCAAGCCAUGACUGCAGCCAUGCCGCGCUGUAUGAAGAAGGCCAAUUCGGGGCUUUGGUUAAAGAUACUUUCAGCGAGGAGGAAGGCGCUGUAGUUAAUAACUGCAGCGAUUGACGUUACUCGCAGAAGAAGCACCGGCUAACUCCGUGCCAGCAGCCGCGGUAAUACGGAGGGUGCAAGCGUUAAUCGGAAUUACUGGGCGUAAAGCGCACGCAGGCGGUCUGUCAAGUCGGAUGUGAAAUCCCCGGGCUCAACCUGGGAACUGCAUUCGAAACUGGCAGGCUAGAGUCUUGUAGA